rnacentral:rRNA from 1 species
UACGAAGGGGGCUAGCGUUGCUCGGAAUCACUGGGCGUAAAGCGCCCGUAGGCGGAUUGUUAAGUCAGGGGUGAAAUCCUGGAGCUCAACUCCAGAACUGCCUUUGAUACUGGCGAUCUCGAGUCCGGGAGAGGUGAGUGGAACUGCGAGUGUAGAGGUGAAAUUCGUAGAUAUUCGCAAGAACACCAGUGGCGAAGGCGGCUCACUGGCCCGGUACUGACGCUGAGGUGCGAAAGCGUGGGGAGCAAACAGG